AAUUAGGUAUUUGAAGUUCGAAAUGGAUACUACAGCAUAAGACAGAAAAUUGUCUGUGCAGGUCCACGUCUUCGUAUAGUCCCCAUAUAACAGUACCACCCUAUAUUCGGUAUUUUGAUGAUUUUAGCGACAUCAUGAACCGGAAUUGUUUAAAAUUUGGUAUUUGAAGUUCGUAAUUGUCUGAGCAGGUCCAAGUCUUCGUAUAGCCAGUAUUUAGCGGUACCUCCCGAUUUUAGCUACAUUAUUCACCGGAAUUGUUUAAAAUUUGGUAUAUGAUGUUCGUAAUAGAUAUUACAGCCUAUGACUGAAAAUUGUCUGUGCAUGCCCUUGUUUUGGUAUAGUCCCAGCGUUCGAAAAUAAACAUUAUGGUACAGUACCAUAGUGUUCUGUACCGUACCGAGGUGGAGUGGUACACUACGAUAGUGUACCGUACCGGAACACAACCCUUAAAAAAUAUUUCAGUGAUACUGUACCGGAGCACAACGAUAAUCGUACUGUACCGCAAUCGGAGCACUAAAAAACGUAGUGUUCCUCAGUCGGAGCACUACAAAAUCUUAGUGUACCACAUGGCGGAACAUUAAAAAAAUAAUCGGCCCAAUUACGGUUGUCGUUACUAUGGUCGUCGUCGACUUUAUGUGAGAGUCGCCCUCGCCGUCGCUUCGAUUCAAAAAUGGUAUUAUGGCAAGGCAUAGAAGCGACAUCGACAGUUCAAAAUAAAAGUUGGCAACAAAUAAAAAAACGUUGGCAACACUCCCCUGUUAUUGACAAAAAAAGAUAUUUUUUUGGUAUUUUGAAUUCUAAAUUCGCUCUUUCGGAAAAAUAAAAAAUAUAGUGAAAAAAUAAAGAUUAUAAAUACGUUACAUAUCUUAAGUUCAAGUGAGGAUGAAGAGAAGAUUGUAUUAGUAUUGCAGCGGCGAGUGUUAAGGCAGCCAACAAACAUAUUUGCAUUGCCUGGCCCUUGAUUGUGUUGUUACAAAAGUGUUCAAUAGUUUCUACUUUCCUUGUAGACUUUUUACCAUUGUUUUUUGAUCGAGAAGCUUCAAUAGUAGGUUACAUCAGUCUCGUCAUCAGCAUUGUCCACUUGCUCAUUUUCAUGAACUAUAACGUCUAUUACACUUAUGUUUUCCUUAUUUUCUAUUCCAAGUGCACGACCUGGUGGAUUCAAUAACUUUUGAAACUGCAUUAUAUUCGCGACAGACUCCUCCAAAGUCAUUUGCUUAAAAAUGCCACAUCCAUUGCUGCUGGUUUCACCCUUGUUGUGCACAAGUUUUUUUUAGUUUUAAAUUUUAAAUCUUUCCAAACCUAGAAGAAUUUCAGAAAACUAACUAAUAAAAACGUACAAAAAUAAUUUUCAUUUUUACAUACUUUUUGCCAGCCAUCGGGGUCUCUAAUCGGAGUCCCGUUUACAUUUAAUUUUGUAGCAAUGGAUUCCCAAUCUGAAUGAAAAUUUGCUGGAACAUGACCUUUGGUAAAUCCUUUUGCCAAACAUGGAUUUUUUUUUUUUCAAUUCGGAAACCAAAAUUUCAAAUUGUUUUGCUGUUGUUAUUUUCGUGGUCAAACAAAUAUAAAAUACAAAAUGCUUACAAUAUCAACGUCGACUAAAAAGUACUAUGUCGUCACAAUUUUUUACGGCGACAUAUAUUCUAAAAAAUCGACUUCACGUCGACUGUUGUAUCGACAAUGAUAAUGGCAACCAUUUGUCGCUAUCGACAAAAAACGACAACCCUAAUAUCACUAUUGUCACCUCGACUUCAUUUUGCGACGCCGACGAUAACCGUACCUGUAGUGUACCACAUGUGUGUUGUUUACGAUUUGGGGAAAAUUGAAUGUUUGAUGUUUUUGAUAAUGUAAAUAUAAAUAAUACAAUUCGAUAUUAUGAAAAUAAUUGCUGGAUUUAUUUUCUUUGCGAUAUUGAAGAAAGUAUGAAAAUAUGAAAAUUUAAAUUCUCCGUGAAAAAGGGUAUUUUAGUGGUUGCCACAAGUCUUUAUGGAUACGCCUGAAAUUCGGCCUAUUGCGUUAUAUUAACCAGUAAAAAGGUUCAUUCAUUUAAAAACAAAAAUUCUACGAAUGAAUGCAACAAUAUGGUUAAUAAAAGUUAUUGCCAUAAAAUUGUAUAUUUUGGUGGGCCGCUAAAUGAAAUCAAUAAAUGGUUUUUAUGCAGAUAAUGUACCUGUUACUUUGUGGUACCGAAAAAUCAGUGAAUGUAGGUGCAAAAAAUUAAAUAUUUUUUAAAGUAUGGCUGAGGGUUUAAAAUCAGUUUUAUGAGUUAGUGUUAAAUAAAACCAAACAUUGUACAGGUACCACAUCAAAAUAUGUGUUGAUAUCCAGGAUAUAGUUUGCCAAAAUUUCGCAUCGGAGUACAGGUAGUCUUAUUAUUAUUAUUAUUAUUAAGAACAAUUUUUGUUACAAUAUAUGCAAAAAAGCCGAUAUCCUGCUGUUUAGUUCUUCUGAAACGUUCAGCAAAUAAUUACAAAAAUGCCGCAACCUAAAAAUAUUAUUCUUUUAGAUAUGUUCAAUACAAAUGAAUCAAUCGAAGUUGUGUGUAAUUUGCAAAGUUGUAAGAACAAGAUUUUAAGUGUACAUUCCGGAAAUAUAGAAAGACACUUAAAGAGAUCACAUCCUGAGCAAUAUGCAAACUAUAUUGAACAAAAACGUGCAAUGAAAUUACAAAAUUGUAUUAACGCAGUAAUACACUGCGAAGAAAUGUAAAUCCGAGGAACAUCGAACUAGCAAUAGUGGAACUAUUCACCAAAAGUGGACGUCCUCUGCACAUAGCCGAAGAUAGGGCCUUCAAAAUUCUUAUGGAACCAGUUUUAAGUUUGCUCGGAAUAACAGUCAAUGAGCAUAAUAUAAUGGAACGAAUUAUCACAUUUUCCACAAAUAUUAAAACGGAAAAGGGACAUUGUUUUCUCUUAAGAUUGAUGUAGCAACCAGGUGGGAUUUGAGCAUGCUCGGUAUAAAUGUUCAAUACAUCAAAAAUGGUAAAAUCAUUGUUAAAACAUUGGUAAUAAAAGAGCUGAAAUCAAGUCAAACCGGUGAAUAUAUAAAACCUAUUAUAUUGGAAGUUCUAAGAGAAUAUGGUGUUGAUGUACGCAACAUUUUACCAUUACAACCGACAAUGGAUCUAACAUAUUAAAAACGGUAAAAGUGCUGAAUUCGGAGUUACAAAUGCUUAUGGAAUAGGAAUCUCAGGAUAGCGAAGAAGAAGUUGAUUGUGAAAUAUCGAUUUAUUAAAUUGAGUCAAUCGACUUUAAUAUAUCCUCACACCAUAUUACUAACAUUCGUUGUGGUGCCCAUACGCUGCAGCUGUGUGUUAAUGGUGUUCUAAAACAGCCUACAAUAAAAGAAAAAACUGAAAACCUAAGACUCGUAGUGAAAAAACUUCGAAGUAAAACGUAUAUGAGUAUUUUUAAAAAUGGGCUCCACAAGAAACCGAUAAUUGACUGUAUAACAAUGGAAUAGAUGGAAUUCAACAUACAAUAUGAUUGAAAGACUGCUGGAAAUAAGAUAAGUUGUAACUACAUUAAGCAAGGAUAAUUCGAAAUUAUGCAUUAGUUCUGCUGACUGGUCUUUCGCAAGUGAAUUUGUUGGAAUAUUUAAACCUAUUUACACAGCUACAAUGAAACUACAAACUGAACAGCUGUGUUAUACGUUGUAAUAAUGGAUAUUACAUUCCAAAUAGAUGCUUUACCAAAUACCGAAAUGAAAGUGAUACUGAAAGAAUCAUUGAAGACAAGAAUGGAUAAACUUUUUGAUAACGAACUUUUUGGAUCCACGUAUUAAAGUCUGUAUGACAAGCGAUCAGAAAACUAGAGCGCAGAUGUACAUAGUGUCGUUAUAUAAGCGAAUAUACUCAAAAGAAGAUUCUACCACAGACAAUACGGCCUGCACAAUACUGGAUGAAACUCCAUCAACAAGUAAUGCAUGUACACCGAAAUUCUUUUCCGAUUACCUGCAAACUUUAGAUCCUACCACGCCUACACAGAGUUCUUUAAACAUUGAUAAUUUUGAAUCCGAUCUAUCCACUUAUGAAAGAAAAUCUAGAUUGCCACUAAAUGCAAAUGUUUUAGAAUAUUUGGAUUCUUCAAACAUUAUUAGUGGCAUUGCGAAUAUUUUACUGGCAAUACCAUCAACACAAGUAAGCGUGGAACGCUUAUUUUCAGCUAUGAAAUAUAUGUUAUCCGAUCAGCGCAAUCGAUUGUCACCGUUAAAUUUAGAGCAUAUAUUAAUGGUAAAAGCCAAUGGGAUUUUUAAUUACCAUUUGGGAUCAGAUUAAAGUUCUUACUGGUGUACUUAUAUUUUUAGUUUAUUACAUUUUCUUUUUUUUUUACUUUCUAUUUAUAUUAUGUUUAUUAUAUUUAACUUGUUCAAUUAAUUUUAUUAAAAAAAUACAUUUAUGUAAUAACAAUUAAAUACAUAUAAAUAAAUCAGUAUUAAGUAUGUUUCAUUGACAUA